rnacentral:rRNA from 1 species
UACAGAGGUCCUAAGCGUUGUUCGGAUUCACUGGGCGUAAAGGGUGCGCAGGUGGGCUGGUAAGUUCGAUGUGAAAGCCCCGGGCUUAACCCGGGAAUGGCAUUGGAUACUACUGGUCUGGAGGAUCGGAGGGGGGACUGGAAUUCUUGGUGUAGCAGUGAAAUGCGUAGAUAUCAAGAGGAACACCAGUGGCGAAGGCGAGUCCCUGGACGAUACCUGACACUGAGGCACGAAAGCCAAGGGAGCAAACAGG